GGCUAUGUAGCUCAGUUGGUUAGAGCACCGCACUCAUAAUGCGGGGGUCACAGGUUCAAAUCCCGUCAUAGCCACCA
rnacentral:tRNA from 9 species